AUUGAACGCUGGCGGCAUGCUUUACACAUGCAAGUCGAACGGCAGCGCGGGCUUCGGCCUGGCGGCGAGUGGCGAACGGGUGAGUAAUGCAUCGGAACGUGCCCAGUAGUGGGGGAUAGCCCGGCGAAAGCCGGAUUAAUACCGCAUACGACCUGAGGGUGAAAGCGGGGGACCGAAAGGCCUCGCGCUAUUGGAGCGGCCGAUGUCGGAUUAGCUAGUUGGUGGGGUAAAGGCUUACCAAGGCGACGAUCCGUAGCUGGUCUGAGAGGACGACCAGCCACACUGGGACUGAGACACGGCCCAGACUCCUACGGGAGGCAGCAGUGGGGAAUUUUGGACAAUGGGGGCAACCCUGAUCCAGCCAUGCCGCGUGCGGGAAGAAGGCCUUCGGAUUGUAAACCGCUUUUGUUCGGGAAGAAAUCCUCUGGGCUAAUACCCCGGGGGGAUGACGGUACCGGAAGAAUAAGCACCGGCUAACUACGUG
rnacentral:rRNA from 1 species